CAGUAACACGUAGUCAACAUGCCCAUUGGACGUGGAUAACCUCGGGAAACUGAGAUUAAACCGCGAUAUUGUCAAGAUUUCUGGAAUGGAUCCUGGCUUAAAUCUACAUGGCCCCUGGAUUGGACUGCGGCCGAUCAGGCUGUUGGUGAGGUAAUGGCCCACCAAACCUAUAACCGGUACGGGCUCUGAGAGGAGAAGCCCGGAGAUGGGCACUGAGACAAGGGCCCAGGCCCUAUGGGGCGCAGCAGGCGCGAAAACUCUGCAAUGGGCGAAAGCCUGACAGGGUUACUCUGAGUGAUUUCCGCUAAGGAGAUCUUUUGGCAGCUCUAAAAAUGGUGCAGAAUAAGGGGUGGGCAAGUCUGGUGUCAGCCGCCGUGGUAAUACCAGCACCCCGAGUGGUCGGGACGAUUAUUGGGCCUAAAGCAUCCGUAGCCGGUUGUGCAAGUCCUCCGUUAAAUCCAGCCGCUCAACGGAUGGGCUGCGGAGGAUACUACAGAACUAGGAGGCGGGAGGGGCAAGCGGUACUUAGUGGGUAGGGGUAAAAUCCUUUGAUCCAUUGAAGA
rnacentral:rRNA from 1 species